rnacentral:lncRNA from 1 species
CAAAAAGAAGUAGGGAUGGCGAGACGUGGAAACUGGCGUCAGGCAGUGUACUCCGUCAUCGAUCCAUAACUCCGUCACUGAAUGCCCACAAGGUCUUCCCGGCUGCGUUAGAUAACCAUGAUGGCGCUCUGCCGAAUAUAAUAGCUGAACGGUAGACUGGCUGCGUGGGUAUGGGGGCGAGUGUCGUAACGUGACGGAGACCAUGGUGGAGCCAGGUGCACCAUUUUGUUCCGUCACGUACCUGCACAUUGGUGCGGAUGCAGUGGUUGGAAGGCGCAGUGGAGAUGCUGCAACGGACGAGAUACCUGAAGCGAUUCGACUGUUGGAUGUAAUGGCGGAGAGGCAGCGUUUCAGAAUAGUACCAUUAAUGGUUUCAAUUUGUUGCUGGGGAGAGAAUGUAUCCGGAGUGCAGACACGGUGACUCAGAUUAGCGAUUGGUCGGUGGUCAUCGCAUUUACAGGAGCUGAUGCCCUUGACGACAAUGCAUGUGCCCUCGACCAACUAUCUAGUCACAACCGGCUGUUCCAGGUAUUUAUGAGUGUACGUGUGUUUUUGACGCCCAUUCUAAGCGGCAAUGCGGAGUACAGAGACGGUAGCGAUGAGACUGUCGGCAGGUGUGCGUAUGGAAGAGUUCCAGAAGAUGCGGCACAUGAACACUGGCAUUCGUUUCAAUCGUAUCGUACCAAAGCUGGCGAACUCGUGGGUCGCAACAGACAGCAUGGGCGCUUAAACGUUCGAUAUACACUGUACCGCAGGCGAUGUACUACGGCAUUUUUGGCGGCGUUGCGGCGUUACCGGACCGAGGGCACGGGUGCGGUCGUGUGCGGGUCACGCCGGCGGCCGCGGGGGUCGCCAGUACGGUCGACGAUGAAGUGGAUUCGUCAGGUUAUUGAUUGGAAGCUGGUUGCUUGCUCGUGUGGUCCGCCGCCUAUUGUUCGAUGUGUUUCACAUAUACUAUGUCAAUAGUCGCUCUGGGGCUCUUGGGAGGAGCGUACGGCGUUGCGAGCUUCUGACCUCGUCACCGGUCUAUCGAGGGGCCGGUCUUACCAUUCUCGCUGGAGGUCGUAGUUCUAUGUGAGUUGAUAGGGCUGCAAACCACGGUAGAUCUGUUCACUAUGAUGGCCUGACGCAGGAACCAUGUUCACGUGCAGUCUUGGAGUUUGAGAAGUUGUGUCAACGUUUUAAGCACGUUCCGGAUGGAUGAGCAACACGGGCUUGAGAAGGAUAUAGAUGUAGCGCGCACUGGCUAUUUACGAUGAGUCGUUACGCGUUGCGGUUGCGUUGUCAGGAGUACUUAUCCAUUCGCGUCGAUUGCUCGUUUUGACGGAAAGUUG